rnacentral:lncRNA from 1 species
GAUGGGGUGGGAUGAGCCAGGAGGUGAUUCAUUUUCUAGUGUCAGUUUACUCCACUCCCUCAAAUCAGAGAGUUCUUAAAUUAUAGAGCUAUGAUUCUGAAAAAUAUUUAAAGUCAAGCACUGCCUAUAUAGAAACUAUAUACUGUCUCUGUAAGAUGCUCAGCUGUGGGAGCAGCGAGUACAAAUAAACAGGGAUUCUGUCUUAUGUUGUAGUGGGAAGCUCUUUUUUGUUGACCACCAUCUUUUUCUUGUGGAUCCAUCAUUUUGCAACUCCAUUUGCCCUUGGGGGUGUGUGUAAUGGGGUCUCACACAUAUACACAUCCCUUCCAGUGUUGGCGUAUGUGAUGGUUAAUUUUAUGUGUCAACUUGACUGGGCCACAGGGUGCCCAAAUGAAACAUUGUUUCUGGGUGUGUCUGUGAGGGUGUUUCUGGAUAAGAUUAACAUUGGAAUCCAUGGAUUCCGUGAAGUAGCUUGCCCUCCCUGAGUGAGUGGGCAUCAUCCAAUCCACUGAGGGCCUGAAUAGAACAAAAAGUGGAGGAAAGAAGGAUUUGUUCCUUUCCUACCUGUCUUCUUGAGCCCAGACGUUGGUCUUCUCCUACCCUGGGCCUGGGACCUACACUAUCAGCUCCCUGGUUCUCGGGCCUGUGGACUCGGACUGGACUGGCACCACUGGCUUUUCUGGGUCUCCAGCUUGCAGAUGGCAGGUCGCAGGACUUAGCCUCCACAAUCAUAAGAGAAGAUCACUCCUGGAUAGUUUUGUCUCCUGGCCACCAGGAGUUUGUGAAAGUUGGCAAAUUUUGACUGAGGACAGGAAUGGGGACUGAGAUGCUGCCUUUCUAGAAAGCUCCUGGUGAUGCUGAUGCUUCAUGGACCACUUUGAGGAUCUAAGGUAUUCGGAAAGCUUUCCUCUUG